rnacentral:rRNA from 1 species
GAUGAACGCUAGCUACAGGCUUAACACAUGCAAGUCGAGGGGAAACGAUAUUGGAAGCUUGCUUCCGAUAGGCGUCGACCGGCGCACGGGUGAGUAACGCGUAUCCAACCUGCCCAUCACUUGGGGAUAACCUUGCGAAAGUAAGACUAAUACCCGAUGAUAUCUCUAGACGACAUCUGAAAGGGAUUAAAGAUUUAUCGGUGAUGGAUAGGGAUGCGUCUGAUUAGCUUGUUGGCGGGUAACGGCCCACCAAGGCAACGAUCAGUAGGGGUUCUGAGAGGAAGGUCCCCCACAUUGGAACUGAGACACGGUCCAAACUCCUACGGGAGGCAGCAGUGAGGAAUAUUGGUCAAUGGGCGAGAGCCUGAACCAGCCAAGUAGCGUGCAGGAUGACGGCCCUAUGGGUUGUAAACUGCUUUAUAAGGAUAAAGUGGUCACGUGUGACUUUUG